rnacentral:lncRNA from 1 species
GUUGAACUGGGUCAUGGAUGUAGAGAAUAUAAAUGCCCGUUAAAGCAAGAGCUCUUGUGUUUCUGUUCCUGUGGAGUGCAGCUGAAAUGACCGCUACUGCUCCUUCACAGUAUAUUUACAUGAGCUUCCUGUGGACAUCAGCACCAUUUAAAAUUAAGGCUGGAACACAGAUGUGGGGCUGGAAGUGGAGCAGCCCCUUUUAGCCAUGAGGCCCAAAGCCACAUGCUAAGGAUGGUGAAGCAGGGGAUAGAAAGAGCCUGUGUCUUUGCUGACUUCCUUAAGCCACGGCACCAGCCUGGGCCUGCCCUACUCUGGACAUCUAAAUGUCAGGAGCUAAGAAUCAAGUCAGUCUAGAGGUGUUCGUUGCCAUGUGGAGAGAUCCUUCCCAAGAAGAAAGAUGCUACAAAGUGUCCUGGAAAUCCUCUUUGCCCAUCCAGAUCCACCCUCCCUAGCCUGCUCUGUACCUCAGGAAGCUGCUUUUCAUGGUUCACAUAAACCAGGCUCCUGUACCCUCCAGAUAGGUCCAUCCUAUGGGUGGUACCAGCAGGAGACCAGAGAGAUGAAGGAGGGAAAAAAAGAACAUUAGGGGUUGAAUUGUAUCACCCCAAAAUUCAUAUGGUGAAGUAUAACCCCUUCGGAAUGUAACCUUAUUGGAAAUGUCAGAGGCACGUGAACCAGAGCAACUCCAUCUUGAAUAGGGGCUGGGUAAAAUGAGGCUGAGACC